rnacentral:misc_RNA from 1 species
CUCGUUUAUAGUGAUACCUUGUUAAACGUACAAAAUUGGCCAUUCCUUUAGCGUAUCCAACCAGCUUGCAAAGACUCUUGACAAAAUUGAAGUUUUGUGCUAGGUAGAUCAACACAUUGGAAGCAGAUAGUUUACAAAAAAAUGCAAGUUAGCAAGAUUCCCAUGGUAGAAUUCUCUACAACAUCAAAACUGUAAGAAGAAUACAUAUGAAAAUUGUCUUCAACGAAAAGAAAAGCCAAUCGAUACCCCAGGUUUAAAAAGUUUUAGGGAAACAAAAAUCCUAAUUGCAUUCUAUGCAUUAAUCCAUGAAGCAAGCAGCCCUACUUGUUAGCUGGUUACCGCAAUUUUUCCCUGAGGGCUCCACGGAACUACUUCUUUGGUUACUUUUGUAACCAGACUUGCUUCUACCUUGAUGAUUGGAUUCUUGAAAGACCUUGGAUAUUGAUUUAGUUCUGGCUGCUUUCCGGGGCAGUCUGGGAAUUCUCAAUUAGCAACUCAAUUUUCUGGUCAUGAAGAUCAUAAACGCACAUUAUGUACCAAUAAAAAGCAAAUGAAAACAAACAUAACCAUUCUCCUGUCAACAAGAAACUAAUGUGAAAAUAAGCAUGCUUUUACUGAUUGCAGGACAACUGAUUAGGGGGGAAAAAACCAAACCUUUUAUGUAAAUUUUCAAAUUUAGCUAAUUCUUUAAAUUUAUCAAAUCUACCCCCAACCUUGAAUCAAUUCCUCGGCACCUAAACACAGCUUAGCCUUCCCUUCCCUAAGUCCUCGGCCAACAGCAUUCCAUAAAGUAAUUUUAUUGUUUCUCAAUUAAAUCCAGACAUACAAAACCCUAAUUAUAAGUAAAAGUUCAUGAAGAUCCAGCUUAGUAUUCCCUGUCAUCAUGUUGAUAACACAACAUAAGAUCUUGGAGGGAAGAUCAUAAACUGGCAUCUGUUGGCCACUACCUGUUUUGACUUUUGUGGACACCUCCAUCAAAUCCAUUAAUAUAACUGGCAAACUGAGCCAAAAUUCCAGUUAUAAAAAAAAAGUACAACUUGGGUUGAGAAAACAAUCUUUUAAAACAACUAACUGAUUUCGAUCUACUUGGUUGUUGUAUAUCUUGAGAAGGGGUAGAAGAGGAGCUGAAAAAGGAUCAAGGACCUCGGCAAGGGUAGUGAGAGAGAGAAGAGGAGGAUGAGGAGAGAGAGAAUGGGAGGAGGGGCUGUACAUGUGCGAAAGGUUUGGAUUUUGCUUUUAAUAUCAUUAGGCGUUAUAGCAAAAGUUACUACUAUCUAACAACAAGCACAUUGUGAAAGCAUUUGAAUUAAAAUAGAAAAUUAACUGAAAAAAAGUGUGAUAAAAAAAUGUUCACCACUAUAUUCAAGAAUAAACACAAGAAAACACAUUCAAAAGGAAAUGAAGCGUUAAAAGAAUGGUUGCCCUAUUUUCAGGAGUGACCACAUGAAAACAAUUUUAAACUGAAAUAUGUUCUGAACUCCUUUAUUUCUAUGCAUUUGCUAGACAUCCUAUGAAAAUAUAAUAAAAUCCGCACCUUUACUGAUUUACUGACUUCUUCAAGCUUAUUUAGCAACACUUCACUAGGUACUGCACUUCUAGGCUCCAUAGAUGCAUAGAGUGGAGAAGCUGUCAUCUGCAUAACAUAAAUAAUAAUAAUGGCUAAAUAUCCAGCCAUCUAAAUAGAAGUAGCUGUCUUUUGUUAACUAAAUAAUUGCAUUCCAGGAUACCUUCUUUUAUCAAAUCCCAAACUUCAAGGACGUUGCACAUUCAACCACUGAUGCCUAAUAGAAAAUGAUACUAGAUCCAGGAUAAAUAAGGCCGAAUUUGAAAAGUAGAAUACCACAUUAUUCUUAUGGACAAUCAGCGCAACUUACACUAAAAUUCUCAAGAGCAAACAGCGGUUUGCUUUACUUAACCCCAACGAACUUUUGUGAAAGUUGAUAUUUCUCAAUAUCAGGUUCACCCUAACAAGUAUGAUACUGUUUCUGCACCCAACUUUCCUCAGUACAUAACUACUUAUUCUAAAAUCGCUUCCAUAAGAUAACAUAAAGUUGUGAACUUGAAUACUGGAAGCAGGACCAAUUUUUAGGCACACUUUUGAGUUACAUAAGAAAGCAGCCCAAACUGAUUUAAACUCUAAAAGUAAGUAGAAUCAUAGCCAACAAUGAGUACUAGAGGCAUUAUGAUAAUCUAGUAAACUAGGUAGAAACAACUAAAAUUCAUAACUAAUGUAGGUUAGCAAAUAAAUAAAAACCCUAAUUUAUGGCACAAAAGUGAAAAAUUAGAAAAUGUUUCAGAAAGAUAUACUCAUUUGUAUUUGAAUGUGGAGGAGCAUUGCCUUUCCUUUAUCAGGGUUACAAGUAACAUCCAAAAAUAUAGGAAAACAUUUUAAAAAGUUACCUUCCAGCUUUUGGUGGGUGAUUUAAAAACAGCUGGUCCCUCACUCAAUGAUACUGUUCUAGACAUACUCUCCCCUUCCCCUGUGUAAGUAGCAGGUUUCCAGCCUUUUCCAACAUCUUGCAUAUUCUUUGCAGCUUCAGUUAUUAUGACCUUCCUUAGAAGUGCAGGGUUAUCAACACCUUGAAUUUGUAGCUCAUCUACUGGUGCCGCUUUUCCACUUGCUAUACUUUCAACUCUAAAUGUAUGAAUUCCAUAAACAGACUGUAAGCA